rnacentral:lncRNA from 1 species
ACCCGAGCAGGAUGAAAGCGAACAGCUUAUCAGACAAACAGGGUGAGCUGUGAUUGAAUACCAAAGACAGACCGAAAAUUUGCGCUCCGAGGACACCACAAAAAUGCUGAAAUACACCGCGCUGUUUACUUCUCUUCCGAUCCUCUGGCUGAAUCUGAAUCAGUCUUCUGACUUAAUCUGGAGUUUCGAUCCUCUGCCUGAAUCUAUACUCAAUUUAGUCCUCUGGUUGGAUGU